CCUACGGGCGGCAGCAGUGGGGAAUAUUGGACAAUGGGGGGAACCCUGAUCCAGCGACGCCGCGUGAGUGAAGAAGUAUUUCGGUAUGUAAAGCUCUAUCAGCAGGGAAGAAAGAAAUGACGGUACCUGACUAAGAAGCCCCGGCUAACUACGUGCCAGCAGCCGCGGUAAUACGUAGGGGGCAAGCGUUAUCCGGAAUUACUGGGUGGAAAGGGAGCGUAGACGGCGAUGCAAGUCUGAGGUGAAAGGCGGGGGCUCAACCCCCGGACUGCUUUGGAAACUGUAUGGCUGGAGUGUAGGAGAGGUAAGUGGAAUUCCUAGUGUAGCGGUGAAAUGCGUAGAUAUUAGGAGGAACACCAGUGGCGAAGGCGGCUUACUGGACUGUAACUGACGUUGAGGCUCGAAAGCGUGGGGAGCAAACAGGAUUAGAUACCCUUGUAGUC
rnacentral:rRNA from 1 species